GACGAACGCUGGCGGCGUGCCUAAUACAUGCAGGUCGAGCGGACAGAAGGGAGCUUGCUCCCGGAAGUUAGCGGCGGACGGGUGAGUAACACGUGGGCAACCUACCCUGUAGAUCGGGAUAACAUCGAGAAAUCGGUGCUAAUACCGGAUAAUCAUUUGAAGUGCAUGCUUCGAAUGUAAAAGAUGGCUCCGGCUAUCACUACGGGAUGGGCCCGCGGCGCAUUAGCUGGUUGGUAAGGUAAUGGCUUACCAAGGCAACGAUGCGUAGCCGACCUGAGAGGGUGAUCGGCCACACUGGGACUGAGACACGGCCCAGACUCCUACGGGAGGCAGCAGUAGGGAAUCUUCCGCAAUGGACGAAAGUCUGACGGAGCAACGCCGCGUGAGUGAUGAAGGUUUUCGGAUCGUAAAGCUCUGUUGUUAGGGAAGAACAAGUGCCGUUUGAAUAAGGCGGCACCUUGACGGUACCUAACCAGAAAGCCACGGCUAACUACGUGCCAGCAGCCGCAGUAAGAC
rnacentral:rRNA from 1 species